rnacentral:rRNA from 1 species
UACGUAGGUGGCAAGCGUUGUCCGGAAUUAUUGGGCGUAAAGCGCGCGCAGGCGGUCCUUUAAGUCUGAUGUGAAAGCCCACGGCUCAACCGUGGAGGGUCAUUGGAAACUGGGGGGACUUGAGUACAGAAGAGAAGAGUGGAAUUCCACGUGUAGCGGUGAAAUGCGUAGAGAUGUGGAGGAACACCAGUGGCGAAGGCGACUCUUUGGUCUGUAACUGACGCUGAGGCGCGAAAGCGUGGGGGAGCAAACAGG